GAGACCCUCCUCCCCUUUGCCAUUUCCUUAUAACUCCACUAUUUAUAGCCCACUCAGCCCCCUACCAAUCCUCAUCAUUAUCAUCUAUAUCUCGGCCAGUGAUCCUAAGAUGAAGAAGUUUGUGUUGGCAACUUUCCUGGUUAUGGCACUUCUCCUCACCUCCUCUUCCUUUCUUCAGGCGGCCAUGGUGGAUAUCUACUGUCUUCACAAUGGACUCCCAAUGGAAAAAGAUAUCAUUGGUUCCUGCAACAUAAUGUGCGAGAACAGGUGCGACCAAUUUGCAGGAGAUGUGAAAGAGUGCUUGAAGUAUUGUGGAAUCUGCUGCAGGGAGUGUAAAUGCAUUCCUCCAUUGCUCCCUUGCACGGGGGAGAUGCGCCCCCGUUGCCAUUGCCCUUGUCCUUGCUACACAAACAAGAAGAACUCCAUUGACAAGCUUAUGUGUCCUUGAAUUAUCCUUUUUUAUUUUUUCCAAUUAUGCUAUAAAUAAAAGUGAAUAUGUGGAGAAAUAUAUAUAAGAAUGUCUCUCCUUUUUACCUGACUAUGAUCUGAGAACCUAUGUGUCUUUGGUUGAGGUCAUGAUGUGCUUGACCAUGUCCAUUAGUCUUCCUUGUAAUAAACAGAUCUUUUACCCAAAAAAACAAAAGAGAAGCAAUGAAUAGAUCAUGCAAAAUUUUAUCUUCAA